CGGGCACCUUCGGGUGUCAGCGGCAGACGGGUGAGUAACACGUGGGAACGUACCCUUUGGUUCGGAACAACUCCGGGAAACUGGAGCUAAUGCCGGAUAAGCCCUUCGGGGGAAAGAUUUAUCGCCAAAGGAUCGGCCCGCGUCCGAUUAGCUAGUUGGUGAGGUAACGGCUCACCAAGGCGACGAUCGGUAGCUGGUCUGAGAGGAUGAUCAGCCACAUUGGGACUGAGACACGGCCCAA
rnacentral:rRNA from 1 species